GACGAACGCUGGCGGCGUGCUUAACACAUGCAAGUCGAGCGACGCUCUUCCUUCGGGGAGAUGACGGAGCGGCGAACGGGUGAGUAACACGUGGGCAACCUGCCCCUAGCUCUGGGACAACACCGGGAAACCGGUGCUAAUACCGGAUACGACAUCGAGCGGCAUCUCUCGAUGUGGAAAGUUUUUUCGGCUAGGGAUGGGCCCGCGGCCUAUCAGCUUGUUGGUGGGGUAAUGGCCCACCAAGGCGACGACGGGUAGCCGGCCUGAGAGGGCGACCGGCCACACUGGGACUGGGCCACGGCCCAGACUCCUACGGGAGGCAGCAGUGGGGAAUAUUGCGCAAUGGGCGAAAGCCUGACGCAGCGACGCAGCGUGAGGGAUGCCGGCCUUCGGGUUGUAAACCUCUUUCAGCAGGGACGAAUUCAGACGGUACCUGCAGAAGAAGCACCGGCCAACUACGUG
rnacentral:rRNA from 1 species